rnacentral:rRNA from 1 species
ACUCCUACGGGAGGCAGCAGUAGGGAAUCUUCCACAAUGGGUGCAAACCUGAUGGAGCAAUGCCGCGUGAGUGAAGAAGGUCUUCGGAUCGUAAAGCUCUGUUGUUAGAGAAGAACACGUGCUAGGUAACUACUAGCGCCUUGACGGUAUCUAACCAGAAAGUCACGGCUAACUACGUGCCAGCAGCCGCGGUACUACGUAGGUGACAAGCGUUGUCCGGAUUUAUUGGGCGUAAAGGGAGCGCAGGCGGUCUGUUUAGUCUAAUGUGAAAGCCCACGGCUUAACCGUGGAACGGCAUUGGAAACUGACAGACUUGAAUGUAGAAGAGGAAAAUGGAAUUCCAAGUGUAGCGGUGGAAUGCGUAGAUAUUUGGAGGAACACCAGUGGCGAAGGCGAUUUUCUGGUCUAACAUUGACGCUGAGGCUCGAAAGCGUGGGGAGCGAACAGGAUUAGAAACCCUAGUAGUCCCAUG